CACGCCUGUAAAAACUACACCCAUGAUUUUAGAGAAGGUUGGCAGUGUUAUCUGUUGUGUGGUGCGAGAAUUCCGAAGCUCUUCUUUUUUUUUUUUACAUUGGUCGCAGAACAAGGCAGCCGUGCAGAGAUUCGCCAUCUCCAGGUAGCAAAUGCACAGCCUCCGAGAUUUAGCGGCUGCCUCCGAGACGCUGCUGUCACUGGUAUGUGUGGCAUCACCAUUUAUUCCAGUUGGCAGCAGUGUUGCCAGGUUUGGCUAUAUAUAGCCAAAUUGGGCUACGGGAAAAAUUUUUUUGGCGUCGA
rnacentral:lncRNA from 1 species